AUUGAACGCUGGCGGCAGGCUUAACACAUGCAAGUCGAGCGAGCGGCGGACGGGUGAGUAAUGUCUGGGAAACUGCCUGAUGGAGGGGGAUAACUACUGGAAACGGUAGCUAAUACCGCAUACCAUCGGAUGUGCCCAGAUGGGAUUCGCUUGUAGGUGGGGUAAAGGCUCACCUAGCCGACGAUCCCUAGCUGGUCUGAGAGGAUGACCAGCCACACUGGAACUGAGACACGGUACAGACGCGUACGGGAGGCAGCAGUGGGGAUGAUUGCAAAAUGGGCGCAAGCCUGAUGCAGCCAUGCCGCGUGUAUGAAGAAGGCCUUCGGGUUGUAAAGUACGUUCAGCGGGGAGGCGUUACCCGCAGAAGAAGCACCGGCUAACUCCGUGCCAGCAGCCGCGAUAAUAC
rnacentral:rRNA from 1 species